UAUUCCUGUAUUAUAGACAAGGCAGCUGAUAGCUGACAGUGAGGGCAGCAGAGACCCAGCCACGUACCGAGGGUUCCCAGGGUAUUAGGACAUCUUGGGUGCUACGUAGAUGCCUGGGGUUUGGACCUGGCCUGCCUUCCCAAGCUGUGUGACCUCAGGCAAAUCACUAGACUUCUCUGGGAUGCCAUCUUCUCCCUGUAAAACAGAGGCAGUGAUUACAGAGACAACAGCCAUGCUCUUCCCCCUUUGUUUCCAGAGGUUUCACUUGUAGUGGUACCUGACAGCUGGCCUGAGACAUCAGAAAUGCGUGGAGAUGUGGUUUCAAAAGGAUCACAGAUGGACCUCCCUGAAGCCCCGGGAUUAAUCAGCGCAUCCACGUGUCACCUACUGUGCGCCAGGCCCUGGGCUUGCGGCUUUGCUGAGGACAUCGGUGCAUAUAUUGGAACAUAACAUCCUCUCCGCAGGCUGCCAUGGGGGCUGAAUGUGGUAAUGUAAGUCGAGGGCCGUGUGUGGAAUGGUACACGUCUGCCAGGCUGCUUCAUUUGGAG